rnacentral:rRNA from 1 species
AUUGAACGCUAGCGGGAUGCCUUACACAUGCAAGUCGAACGGAGUGGCGAACGGGUGAGUAAUGUAUCGGAAAGUGCCCAGUAGCGGGGGAUAACUACCCGAAAGCGUAGCUAAUACCGCAUACUCUUGGAGCGGCAGAUAUCGGAUUAGCUAGUUGGUGGGGUAACGGCCCACAUAGGCGACGAUCCGUAGCAGGUUUGAGAGGACGACCAGCCACACUGGGACUGAUGCACGGCACAGACGCCUACGGGAGGCAUCAGUGGGGAAUUUUGGACAAUGGGGGAAACCCUGAUCCAGCCAUCCCGCGUGUGCGAUGAAGGCCUUCGGGUUGUAAAGCACUUUUGGCAGGAAAGCGGUACCUGCAGAAUAAGCACCGGCUAACUACGUGCCAGCAGCCGCGGUAAUUC